rnacentral:rRNA from 1 species
AUACGGAGGAUGCGAGCGUUAUCCGGAUUUAUUGGGUUUAAAGGGAGCGUAGGUGGGAUAUUAAGUCAGCUGUGAAAGUUUGGGGCUCAACCUUAAAAUUGCAGUUGAUACUGGUUUCCUUGAGUACGGUACAGGUGGGCGGAAUUCGUGGUGUAGCGGUGAAAUGCUUAGAUAUCACGAAGAACACCGAUUGCGUAGGCAGCUGACCAGACCGCAAAUGACGCUCAUGCACGAAAGUGCGGGGAUCGAACAGGAUUAGAUACCCUGGUAGUCCGCACAGUAAACGAUGAAUACUUGUUUUCGGCGAUAUAAUGUCGGAGGCAAAGCGAAAGCGAUAAGUAUUCCACCUGGGGAGUACGCCGGCAACGGUGAAACUCAAAUGAAUUGGCGGGG